CAAUCAAUGACAAUAAAUCACAUAAAAAAAUUUAAAAUUGAAGAAGAAGAGUAGAAGAUUAAAAAGAAUUGUGGUUGAAAAAUGAGAGGAAGCCCCUCUAUUUAUAGUCAACAAAGGGUAGUAUGAACAAAUAUUUUUUUGUGUCUUAUCUAAAAAGUCACGACAUUUCUGAGAAGUCACAACCUUUUGAAAAGUCGUAAGUUAUUGAAAAAGUCACAACUCUUUGGAAAAG
rnacentral:lncRNA from 1 species